rnacentral:lncRNA from 1 species
AGAAUAUGAGAAGAUUCAUUCAAGAAAACAAGUUUAAUGCCUUCUCCAGAUCUCAAUUUUUUGAAACGUUUUGAGGUAUGUAAAACCGUUCCUUCUCAUAUGCUUUAAGUUUUAUUAUUUUUCCCAAUUUAAAUUAAUCUCAAUUUAGGUUUAGAGUUGAAUGAAUCUUCAUCUUUAUCAAUUAAGCUAGUCAGUCAAUACGUUUAUGAAACAAAAAUCUGAAAAAAAAAACAAGCAAAUUUCUGCCAAAAUCUGGAAAAAUCACCCUAAUCCAUGAAUACUCUUCAUUCCUUUUUUGUGAAACCUAUUAAAUCAUCUGAAUUAUUUCCAUAUUUGUAAAUUCUGAGUAUUUGAAACUAGUGGAAUCCAUGAACUUUGUAGUUACUGGUUUAUGAUUUGGAAUUCGCAACACAAAAAGGUGAAAACAGAGAUAGGAACUUGUUAACAGAUGGAUUGUUUGUUUUGUAGCCCUUAAGAUAAACUCCACUGAUUUCCUGUAACCAUAUAAUACAACCUUUCCAUUGUUUUUUCCAAGAUAUAAACUGGAACUCCAAUUGUUAAGAUGCAACAUAUGAAUCUCAACUAGAACACUCAUAACCAUACCUUAAUUCAUUGAGUACCGUAAAAGCCAAGAUUUGAGAACUUAAUGGAAUGCUUUCAGUAAGCUUUAAUAUGCUAUUUAUUGAUUUUGUUUCCUCACCAGUAAAGGUACAAAUCCAUAAGUUAAUUGUUCCAUUUAAAGAAGAAAAAAACAACGGGAGCUAUCUUCAACUUUAAAUAGGAAUUAUGACUUCUUGCAAUAAGGUUUCAAAGUGCUCUAUAAUGCUUGUAAAUGCAAUGAAAAAUCUUUGAUAUGAACCCCUUAACAGAAUUCAUCCUCAUUCGCUUAGAAAGCUAUGAAAUGGUACCAAAUCAAAAUCUUAUGAACCCAAUGUGGUUGAAUUCCCAACAUGAGCCUAAGAGACUAAAUUAUGUACAUGAGCCUAAAAAGGCUAAACCAUGAGCAUGGCCUAAUAUGGCUAACACUUUGAACAUGAAUACAUAGGACAACAUGAUGAGCAUAAGGGAGUUAGUUAUCUGACCAUGAAGGCAUAGGUUGAAAUGACAAAUGCCUGAAACUAUGUUUGCCGACAUAGGAUAGAGAUUAUUCCGCAAGUGGGAUGACUCUUUUUUUUUCAUGUAUCUUGAAAAGGGACUAACCAUGGAUACUUGCUAGAAAAUUAUGUCAUGCCAUGUCCUAUUUCCGGUAAGGUAUAGGAUGGCUUAGUUGAUCGGGCUGAGAUCAGACUCCAUACGCUCACAUGGUGGUUUAUGACGGUUCACUACUUUCUCCCAUAUAUAAUCAAAGGAAUUAAAUCUAUCAUACUUCAUCAAUUAUAAACUUAGUUUAUCUUAUUGUUCCUUUCCAGUGGUCUUCACUUCUAUUUGAAUUUUAUUGCCAUUUCUAAUUUCUUAAUGUACUACUCUCCUGAAAUAGUUUUGCAUACCAAUACAUUCCACUUAUUGACCGCCUUUGGCACUACAUCAUUUCAUGAUGUAGGUUCUGGAUCUCAAGUCUGUGGUCAGGUGCAUCAUUAGGAUUAUCAUCUUCUACUAUUGGUGCGCCUCUUUUCUACCUGAGGUAAAUUUAGAUAUGACAAUUUCAUUAUGUUCCUUUCAGUAUCAGGAUAUGCCGGGGC